rnacentral:lncRNA from 1 species
AACGAAAAACUACGCCCGAAGUUGCAAAACCAUACUAUGCGACCGCAUAGAAGGGAUCUAUGCGAUCGCAUAGAUCAUUUUUUUGGCUCAUUGAAUUCCCUGAAACCUUCUAUGCGACCGCAUAGAAGGUUACACUAUGCGGUCGCAUAGAAGUAACCAUCUAUGUGGUUUGUGCAAUUUGGUCCCUGAACUUCUUUGUUGCUUCUCUUGACUUCUUUCUUCGAUUUUUUCAUCUUUU